rnacentral:rRNA from 1 species
CCUACGGGAGGCAGCAGUGAGGAAUAUUGGUCAAUGGGCGCGAGCCUGAACCAGCCAAGUAGCGUGAAGGAUGACUGCCCUACGGGUUGUAAACUUCUUUUAUAAAGGAAUAAAGUGAGGCACGUGGGCCUUUUUGUAUGUACUUUAUGAAUAAGGAUCGGCUAACUCCGUGCCAGCAGCCGCGGUAAUACGGAGGAUCCGAGCGUUCUCCGGAUUUAUUGGGUUUAAAGGGAGCGUAGAUGGGUUUUUAAGGCAGUUGUGAAAGUUUGCGGCUUCACCGUAAAAUUGCAAUUGAUACUGGCAGUCUUGAGUCCAGUUGAGGUUGUCGUACUUCUUGGUGUAGCCGU